AUUGAACGCUGGCGGCAUGCCUAACACAUGCAAGUCGAACGGAGAUAGGGGCAACCUUAUUUCAGUGGCGGACGGGUGAGGAAUGCGUCGGAAUCUGCCCUAUGGUGGGGGAUAACACAGGGAAACUUGUGCUAAUACCGCAUAAUGUCGAGAGACCAAAGCAGGGGACCGCAAGGCCUUGCGCGAUAGGAUGAGCCGACGCUCGAUUAGCUUGUUGGUAGGGUAAUGGCCUACCAAGGCGACGAUCGGUAGCUGGUCUGAGAGGAUGAUCAGCCACACUGGGACUGAGACACGGCCCAGACUCCUACGGGAGGCAGCAGUGGGGAAUAUUGGACAAUGGGCGCAAGCCUGAUCCAGCAAUGCCGCGUGUGUGAAGAAGG
rnacentral:rRNA from 1 species